AACGAACGCUGGCGGCAGGCUUAGCACAUGCAAGUCGAGCGCCCCGCAAGGGGAGCGGCAGACGGGUGAGUAACGCGUGGGAAUCUACCGAGCCCUAAGGAAUAGCUCCGGGAAACUGGAAUUAAUACCUUAUACGCCCUUUGGGGGAAAGAUUUAUCGGGGUUUGAUGAGCCCGCGUUGGAUUAGCUAGUUGGUGGGGUAAAGGCCUACCAAGGCGACGAUCCAUAGCUGGUCUGAGAGGAUGAUCAGCCACAUUGGGACUGAGACACGGCCCAAACUCCUACGGGAGGCAGCAGUGGGGAAUAUUGGACAAUGGGCGCAAGCCUGAUCCAGCCAUGCCGCGUGAGUGAUGAAGGCCUUAGGGUUGUAAAGCUCUUUCACCGGUGAAGAUAAUGACGGUAACCGGAGAAGAAGCCCCGGCUAACUUCGUGCCAGCAGCCGCAGUAAAAC
rnacentral:rRNA from 1 species